GAGAGGUGGCAGAGUGGUUGAAUGCACCGGUCUUGAAAACCGACAAGCCUUCGCGGGCUUCGAGGGUUCGAAUCCCUCCCUCUCC
rnacentral:tRNA from 1 species